CUGGAUGAAGGCUGCCUCAUGGGAAGGAGUGUUUUGUAGCUAUAGACUUGGUCACAGGUUGGAGUCAACAUUGGUAUUCAUCUCAGGCAACUGCAGCCAAUCUUGGCUGCCAGGUGAAACAUGAUGUUGAAAGGGAGAAACAGUCUUGAAGAAAUACAAGCUCUUAAACCAUGAAUGGCUUUGUGGAUCAAAAAUGCCAUUUUGAAUUACACCUGAAAAUGAAGUGGAGAUCAGCAAAGUCUCUGGAGCACGAUGAAGGAGGAGCCGUGCUGGACAGGCGGUCCCACCCUUGCCUGCCGAGCAUUUUGCAGGUCUGUUCUAAGCACAUCAGUUAUGAUUUGGAGCAGCUGCAAACUCAGCCCAGUGCAGUGCUCCCAAUAAAUUCCAGAUGAUGAAUAUGAUGUGGACUUACUGGAAGAAAAAUAUAUUUCUGUGGAGAAAAACAAUUACUUCUGAAAGCAAGACAAUAGAACUGAACUGAUGCUACAGACAUAAGAUAGAACAGAACUUUUGGGCAAUGGCUUUAAUUUCAAAUAAAUCACCCACCUGGAA